CUUUUGCAAGAGCUGCUAAGAGCGCUGGGUCCUGCUUGUGCUCAGCUCCAGCUCACUGGCUGGCCACCGAGACUUCUGGACAGGAAACUGCACCAUCCUCUUCUCCCAGCAAGGGGGCUCCAGAGACUGCCCACCCAGGAAGUCUGGUGGCCUGGGGAUUUGGUGGGUCUGCUCCUUAGCAGUGGCCUGGGGCUCUGUGUGUGUAUCUGGGGUGGGGUCGGGGAAUGUCCUAAGGAUCUGAGAAGGGGGUUUCUGGGGAGAAGUGAGGGGUGAUGGUGAUGGAAGCUUGGGACAGGAGCAGGACUCUGGGUCCCAGAAUAACUCAUGAGGGGCUCAGGGGAGGAGGUCCUCUAUGUGAAUUGGGGAGAUUCUUGGAGACAGGUUUGUGCUGGGACCCUGGAAAGUGGCACGAGCGAGGUUCUCUAAUAAGCAGCGUGUUUCACUGGGUGGAGUGAGCUGUCCUCAGUGUUGGAGUGAGGGGGAAGGGGCCCAAGAGAAGCAGGGCAGAUGCACCCAAACAUUCCCUGCUGGCCUGGAGG
rnacentral:lncRNA from 1 species